rnacentral:rRNA from 1 species
GACGAACGCUGGCGGCGUGCUUAACACAUGCAAGUCGAACGGAAAGGCCCUGCUUUUGUGGGGUGCUCGAGUGGCGAACGGGUGAGUAACACGUGAGUAACCUGCCCUUGACUUUGGGAUAACUUCAGGAAACUGGGGCUAAUACCGGAUAGGAGCUCCUGCUGCAUGGUGGGGGUUGGAAAGUUUCGGCGGUUGGGGAUGGACUCGCGGCUUAUCAGCUUGUUGGUGGGGUAGUGGCUUACCAAGGCUUUGACGGGUAGCCGGCCUGAGAGGGUGACCGGCCACAUUGGGACUGAGAUACGGCCCAGACUCCUACGGGGGGCAGCAGUGGGGAAUAUUGCACAAUGGGCGGCAGCCUGAUGCAGCAACGCCGCGUGCGGGAUGACGGCCUUCGGGUUGUAAACCGCUUUCGCCUGUGACGAAGCGUGAGUGACGGUAAUGGGUAAAGAAGCACCGGCUAACUACGUG